UACGUAGGUGGCAAGCGUUGUCCGGAUUUACUGGGCGUAAAGAGCGCGCAGGCGGUCGUUCAAGUCGCGUGUGAAAGCCCCCGGCUCAACUGGGGAGGGUCACGCGAUACUGAUCGACUCGAAGGCAGGAGAGGGAAGUGGAAUUCCCGGUGUAGUGGUGAAAUGCGUAGAUAUCGGGAGGAACACCAGUGGCGAAGGCGACUCCUGGCCUGUUCUUGACGCUGAGGCGCGAAAGCUAAGGGGGAGCAAACGGGGGAUUAAGAU
rnacentral:rRNA from 1 species